ACCUCUGUAGCUCAGUUGGUUAGAGCACUGUGCAAGAAUUACAGGGCCAUAGGUUCGAUUCCUGUCAGAGAGC